UGAAGCUUGAGUUGAUUAGCAGUUAAUGAUGUGUGUCCUGAGGAAAAAGUAAGAUUAAAUAUUCUGCAUGUAUUGAGCAGGGCAUUUUACGCUUGAGAUUUAUAGCUGUUUUGUUAGUAUUUCAUGAAGUGUUUAGGUCUGUUCAACUCUGGGUUGCACAGCCGCUCAGUAUUUUGAACACUCAUUUUAUGCAGAUAUAACUUAAACAACUUACGCUGUAUGAAAGUCCGUAGUGCAUGUGCUGUAGCUGCACAUUAACUCUCGAGGAAUGCUAUUGAAGAACAGACACACGGGAGUAACUUCUUCAGCAACCCACAGAUCUGUGCUGAAGUGCUGCUGCCUCACCCCAGGGCCAUCCCAGACCCAGAACCAGCUGCCUUGAGCACUGCACCUUCCAGUCUGGGAAGAAUGCUGUAGGGAAGCUUGUCCUCUUUGCUUAUUUCCUUAGCCCUUGCCACUCUCUAUUGACUCGUCUCAGCUGGAGUUGCCUUACACUCAGUUUUGAGCACAGUUCUGCACUUUCCCUGUGUUGUAUUUCUGAGUUUUGUUACCCAUUUGUGGCCUCUACCUUUCAGGUGCAUCCAACGCAAUUGCCUUGGUGUCAUUCCACAGCAUUUCUGUCCUUGGCCCUUCAAAUGUGGAACAACUUCCCCACAGGUGGCUACUAUGCUCUAAUACUCAAAGAAACAGGAUGCAUUGUAUGUAUGUGA
rnacentral:lncRNA from 1 species